GACGAACGCUGGCGGCGUGCUUAACACAUGCAAGUCGAACGGAAAGGCCCUGCUUUUGUGGGGUGCUCGAGUGGCGAACGGGUGAGUAACACGUGAGUAACCUGCCCUUGACUUUGGGAUAACUUCAGGAAGCUGGGGCUAAUACCGGAUAGGAGCUCCUGCUGCAUGGUGGGGGUUGGAAAGUUUCGGCGGUUGGGGAUGGACUCGCGGCUUAUCAGCUUGUUGGUGGGGUAGUGGCUUACCAAGGCUUUGACGGGUAGCCGGCCUGAGAGGGUGACCGGCCACAUUGGGACUGAGAUACGGCCCAGACUCCUACGGGAGGCAGCAGUGGGGAAUAUUGCACAAUGGGCGGAAGCCUGAUGCAGCAACGCCGCGUGCGGGAUGACGGCCUUCGGGUUGUAAACCGCUUUCGCCUGUGACGAAGCGUGAGUGACAGUAAUGGGUAAAGAAGCACCGGCUAACUACGUG
rnacentral:rRNA from 1 species